rnacentral:lncRNA from 1 species
AUGAAGAGAUGCUGCGGUCGAUUGUUUAAAAGGAAACUGUCCAGUCAGACAGACUGCUUGUCUUCGGAGUGUGGGAGGAAACUUGAGCCCUCGAAGAGAACACACACAGACAGCAGAACAUGGAGACUCCACACAGAUGGGGAGACUGAUUUUGUUUUGUUUUUUAAAAAAAGGGAUCAAUCCUGCAAUGUUAAAAUUAAGGAAAGGAUGGACAGACAGAUUUCAUCCCUGAUGCUACAACUUACACCAAAACACACCAGUGACUCUCAGGCUGCUGUAUGUAGGACAGUACAGUUAUUCACAGACUCAUAGACAGAGGACAGACAGAUGGACAUAGGCGUUACAGUGUGAUUCUAGGAUGAGUGCUCAGCCACUAAUGUGUUUACUUGCAUCCAUGGAAAUACCCCACAAUAUUUUAAAGAACUCCUCCCAGCACAAUCUACAGCACCUUGGCUCCACAAAUACUUAGCAUCUCUGGUCCCCUAGGACCAAACUGCACACAAUGGGUGAUGGAGCUUUCUCAGUGGCUGCUGCACGGAUCUGGAAUGUUCAAACUGACAACCUGAGAGCACCACAGAGCAUGCACGGUUUCAAAAAAUGUAAAAUGCAUAAAGCGUGUUAAUGGGACUAUCAUCUUUCUGUCUUCUUUAUUUAGAUGUUUUAAAUAUGUAUUUUUACACGAUUUAAUGUCCCUUUUCUAUUAUUGUUGUUUUAACUUAUUGUGUGGCACUUUGAGAUUUGCCUUCAUGAAUGUAAAUACAGAUGAUACAAACUCACAUCAUACUUAUGGGACCAAUUAAAAAGUGACAGUAUGUUGGGCCAAGCUCUGCUCACAUUUAGGCAAAUAUUACAAAAUGUUAGUGGAAGCUGCUUCAGUGCAGAUUGAUAAUGACUGUGAACAUACUGGGAAGCAAUUUAGCACUGUUUGUAGAUAAAAUGACCAAGAUGUAAUUUACGAUGGGCAGCUGCUUGUGCCUUUUUUUGACAACACUUGCUAAUAUUAAAAAGCAAGUAAUAGCGAUAUCAUACACAAAGUAAAAAUACUUUCAUUACUUUACAUAUUUAUCAUACAUGCUUACUUCACAUGAACCUGUCCAACAAAUGUGUAAUAAAUAAAUUUGUUUUAAAUAAACA